GACAAAGCUCAAUGGAUAGAGUUUCAGUCUCCGAAGCUGAAGGCUGCAGGUUCGUGUCCUGCCAAGAUCGCCA
rnacentral:tRNA from 1 species